GUGUGAAAUUUUCUUUCUAAACUAAUGGACGGGAGAUGUUAGGAGUAAUAUUUUUACGUAACUCGAGUCUUGCCGGCUCCAGCAGGUUAAGAAAGGUGUUCACUCAUCAAAUGAGAUGGCUACGAAACCAGUCGGCGGUCCAAGGAUAAUGGCGGCUGAGGAGUCGAGGAACUGAUAUCGGUGCAUUGGCCACGGUAAAUUCUCUUGGUAAUUGGCGAGCAGCGAGAGCUACAGCGAAGACAUCGAUGGAUAAUGCGGCGCGGAGAACGUAAUAGGCAACACGGCGCGGUUCAUGGCAUAACCUAUGUACGCCGUGGUAAAUUCUCUCGGUAAUUGCGAACAAGAGGCAGAGGGUGUGGGUGCUGAUGGAAUCCCGAGGGAAGGAUAAUGGCCGGAGAACGUUUCGCCGCGACACAAAGCGGCGAGUUUGCUGGUACUCGACCGGACAGAUCCGUUCUCCGCGUAUGCUAACAAACGGAAUUACAAGCCUGCGAUAUUACGAUACCGAAUACCCUCGAGGAAUACUUUGUCCGAUGUGGAAUUCUAUCCUCGCUAAACUUCGCCCUCCCUGGUGUAAUACCGUGAAAAACAUCGAAACGUACGAGUAUAAUAACCGCGACACGGCGGUCGUCGAUGAGAGUGAGAAGCAAUUUCAUGUGAAAUCGAUGGAUAAGUCGCGAGCCGCCGUUCAUGCCAGUACUGAUACGCGAUUUAUAUUAUAUUCCUAAACAUACCAUAAACACAGGACGCUAUGAUUGGCCGUAUAACGAACGACAAGCAUCACAAGCGAAUUCCUGUAAUAAUUGCGAGGCAGAAGUGCAGUGCGGGUGCACUUGGAAUCCCGGAGAAAGGAUAAUAGCCGUGGAACGUGUCCAGUCACGGUUUGUAUCGUAUUCCUUGAAUAUUGGACGAGCACGUACUACUCGAGCUAUCGGUUUUAAUACGCCGCGCGAACAUAAUUUAACCAUCCGACUGUCGACGGAUAAAAUAUCGUCGACUGGCUUACACGAACGCUUGUAAUCCCGCCUUUUAAAGGAACAGUACCGGCGAAUUAAAGUCGCGAAUACCUCUGCGAUCCGGUUAAAAGGGGGAUUCUGUUGGCGAAACGAUUUGUUCCCCGCGACAUUCGUUGUAUCAGCAAAAUCGUCUCCUUCCUCGGAAAAUAUUGUAAUAAUUCGAACAAUCGUUUGGUAAAAAAACGCGAUGGGUGAUCUGGUUAGUGUCAGAGAGAAACAACUCCAAUUUCCGAUAAUUGGAACGAUCACCGAGCAGGUUUCUCUUUUACUCGGUAUGCUACAACCCGAAAGUCAUAGGAAUUUUAGCGAAAUAAUUUGCAUUGCAGAAAAAGAUCAUUGUUUUCGAUUGGCAAAAAUUACUUGUGAAAAUUUGAAUCAAAAUUUUCAAAUGUUUAAACCUUCGAGGAGAUCGACUGCAGAUCUAGCACAAGGCGCAUAAAUAACUCGAAGCUGUAAUCGUGAACAAAGAAACGAUCACGACCUCCUAUCCCAAACGAUAAUGGAAAAGCUAGGGAACCGUGAGGUAAUUCAUACUCUUUUUUACAAGAGUACCGACUCGAGAGGUUUCCUCAAGCCGCACCCUGCGCCACCCAAACGUAAUCUCGGUAAUAUUUCUAACCGAGCCCUUGACGCCGAGGUUGAGAUUGGGGGCGGAUAAAUUACGGGGCGUAAACUGCAUCCUGACAGUAAAUUACUCGAUAGCGGUAGACGAUACCGUGGAACGUGGCGCCUACGCGUGAAACUACAUCUACUUCCAUAAUCCUAGGACCCUUGAUCCGCAGGAUUCCUGCGAGAAUGUUACGAGGAUACCAUCGCGAUUCUUAUCUUUUGUCCGAUAAAUUUCCUUUUUUCUCGCGGUUCUGAGAAAUCUAAACUUCGAUCGACCGAGAAACACGAUAAUUUAAUUGCCUGAAUAAUAUUAUUUUCUUAAUUUCUACGCAUAGGACGGAAUCUAUUCCAAUUUGUCCGUGACUGAAAGAGCGAGAACAAAUCGCAGAGAGAUUGAAUAAAUUUGAAUACUCGUAGCAGCAGGCACGUGGCUGCGCUCAGCUGUUUUCAUGGAUAACAUCUUCGUCAUCCCGUGUAGCGGUGUAUUUCUAGCGAGAAAAAAAUAUUGAAACCAUCGUCGAAGGUCGGAUUCCAGUGAAUCUCUGCAUUCUAUUAACGUGUUAUCGCCGCUGUAUCUUCGGGAAGUUACGAUAAAGGUCCACUGGCGAAUGGCGCCAUUCAGCGACGUAUAAUCGUUAUACUCUCUCCUGCUGUUGCAACAAAAUGAUUCAAUCGUACGUUAAAUGUCGCCGAUGCUAAUAUAUUUUGUCAACUUUUCGACAGCUUUUUAAGUAGCUCGUAAGAAAUGCGUCAAGUCGUAAGCUAAGGCUUCGUAGAGUUCCCUAGAGUGAACGUAGCUGAAUCGAACGUCACUGCUAUAAUUUUUACAAAAGCAUCGAUUUCCCAACCGGUAUAAUUAUAUAUCGCUCGCGGUAUCAAAGUUCACAGGCGGCUAGAACCAACGGCGGAUGUACGUUAGAGCGUGCGCGUUCCUUGUUAACCGAUGGGAAUAGAUUUCUGAUUCUAUCCACAGUCGCGGCGGGCGUCUCUUGUGCUAAGAGAGCACCGCCAGCAAACGAUUUCGCAAAUGGAUCGUUUCCACGGCGAGCCCAUCAACCGUGUUACCGAAAUCUACCACGGUAUUGUUAAUAUUCUCUUUUGUCUAAGUCAUCUUUGAAUCGAGUCGUUUCCUUCAUUUAAUAAUUGAGAUUAAUAAAUCGAAUCUCUUCUGAUACGAUCAUCACGGUUCACUGAGGCACGAUCAAUCGCCAGUUUUGCAAUAAAUUUGUUAGAGAUCGUUUGUUGUCGAUCGAUUCGCGUUCACUCGAGAAUCGACAGGAUUCACGUUCCACCCAAGCUUUCGUUUCCCUUGCGAGAACGUAAGAAAAUGAUUUCGUUGUGAAUAGAAGAUUUGUUACGGCAAGUAAUUUUUGGCAAUCGGCAAACAGCGUUGUUACUCGUUACUCGAUUACAAGCGGUUUCUGUUGAUUGUCCGUUUCAGCGAUCGACGGGGAGAAACUCUUGCAAUCGAGGUGCUGGUAGGUGGAUUUCGCAUGCGAAACAACCGUUUUGCGAAAUCCUGUUACGGUGGCCGCAGACUUCAACGGAGGCGCCUAGGUGAAUCGACGAAAAUUAACAACCGCGAAAUUGGAUUGAAUUUGUUAGUACCGAAUUACGGCGAAAUAUCUCAAACAAUCAAAAUGGAAAUCUGAGAGUUGUCCUAAAUAAUUCUUAGUCAACUUGAUAUGCAAGAUCAAAAAAUUGGAUGAAAGAAGAAAGUAUAAAGAAAUCCCAUUUGGAAACUAAAAUCAUAUUUCCUUAAGAAAAUGUUAAGAAUAUUUAAAAAUUACGAAUUACGGCGAAAUAUCUCAAACAAUCAAAAUGGAAAUCUGCGAGUUGUCCUAAAUAAUUCUUAGUCAACUUGAUAUGCAAGAUCAAAAAAUUGGAUGAAAGAAGAAAGUAUAAAGAAAUCUCAUUUGGAAACUAAAAUGAUAUUUCCUUAAGAAAAUGUUAAGAAUAUUUAAAAAUUGCGAAUUACGGCGAAAUAUCUCAAACAAUCAAAAUGGAAAUCUGCGAGUUGUCCUAAAUAAUUCUUAGUCAACUUGAUAUGCAAGAUCAAAAAAUUGGAUGAAAAAAGAAAGUAUAAAGAAAUCCCAUUUGGAAACUAAAAUGAUAUUUCCUUAAGAAAAUGUUAAGAAUAUUUAAAAAUUACGGAUUACGGCGAAAUAUCUCAAACAAUCAAAAUGGAAAUCUGCGAGUUGUCCUAAAUAAUUCUUAGUCAACUUGAUAUGCAAGAUCAAAAAAUUGGAUGGAAGAAGAAAGUAUAAAGAAAUCCCAUUUGGAAACUAAAAUGAUAUUUCCUUAAGAAAAUGUUAAGAAUAUUUAAAAAGGUAUCGAGUAUUCUCGGCAUCUCUCGAUAAGAACCGCUAACGAGUAGCAGAUUUUUCUCAAAGCAGUCCAAGCGAAUUAAACCAAACUGGCUAUUCGAGGAAGCGUUUUAGAACGUGUCACCGUAUUUGGGGUUCGAUCGAGAAGGGAACCGCCGUGAACGUCGGGAGAGAAAAAAGGAUCAUGCGCACCCUUGGGGCACGCCCUCAGGGAUCAAAAGCAUUUUGCUUGAUUUCCGCGUGUACCAGUUAUUCAACGAUCUAAACAUUACGUAAACUGACAUUUUCGUGGCUGACUUAAACCAGUCAAAGAGUGUGCCAAUCGGUAUGUCACCAACUCGGACAGAGUUACUAACAGAAUUAAUCUUUUUGGAAACUUUCUACACAGCGUUGUCACUGAAUAACGAAUAUUUUAUUUCGUAGUGGAAAUAUUAAAUAAAGAAACAAGUA